GCUGAAGGAGGAGCUUGCUUCUCUGGAUGAGUUGCGAACGGGUGAGUAACGCGUAGGUAACCUGCCUGGUAGCGGGGGAUAACUAUUGGAAACGAUAGCUAAUACCGCAUAAGAGUAGAUGUUGCAUGACAUUUGCUUAAAAGGUGCAAUUGCAUCACUACCAGAUGGACCUGCGUUGUAUUAGCUAGUUGGUGGGGUAACGGCUUACCAAGGCGACGAUACAUAGCCGACCUGAGAGGGUGAUCGGCCACACUGGGACUGAGACACGGCCCAGACUCCUACGGGAGGCAGCAGUAGGGAAUCUUCGGCAAUGGACGGAAGUCUGACCGAGCAACGCCGCGUGAGUGAAGAAGGUUUUCGGAUCGUAAAGCUCUGUUGUAAGAGAAGAACGAGUGUGAGAGUGGAAAGUUCACACUGUGACGGUAUCUUACCAGAAAGGGACGGCUAACUACGUGCCAGCAGCCGCGGUAAUACGUAGGUCCCGAGCGUUGUCCGGAUUUAUUGGGCGUAAAGCGAGCGCAGGCGGUUAGAUAAGUCUGAAGUUAAAGGCUGUGGCUUAACCAUAGUACGCUUUGGAAACUGUUUAACUUGAGUGCAAGAGGGGAGAGUGGAAUUCCAUGUGUAGCGGUGAAAUGCGUAGAUAUAUGGAGGA
rnacentral:rRNA from 1 species